rnacentral:rRNA from 1 species
AUUGAACGCUGGCGGCAGGCUUAACACAUGCAAGUCGAACGAGUGGCGGACGGGUGAGUAAUGUCUGGGAAACUGCCUGAUGGCGGGGGCUAACUACUGGAAACGGUAGCUAAUACCGCAUACCAUCGGAUGUGCCCAGAUGGGAUUAGCUAGUAGGUGGGGUAACGGCUCACCUAGGCGACGAUCCCUAGCUGGUCUGAGAGGAUGACCAGCCACACUGGAACUGAGACACGGUCCAGACUCCUACGGGAGGCAGCAGGGGGGAAUAUUGCACAAUGGGAGCAAGCCUGAUGCAGCCAUGCCGCGUGUAUGAAGAAGGCCUUCGGGUUGUAAAGUACUUUCAGCGGGGAGGCGUUACCCGCAGAAGAAGCACCGGCUAACUCCGUGCCAGCAGCCGCGGUAAUUC